GUGGGAUGAGGUAGUAGGUUGUAUAGUUUUAGGAUCAUACCCACAACUGGGAGAUAACUAUACAAUCUACUGUCUUUCCUAA
rnacentral:pre_miRNA from 1 species